rnacentral:rRNA from 1 species
UGGGAAUAUUGGGGCAAUGGGACGCAAGUCUGACCCAGCAACGCCGCGUGAAGGAAGAAGGCUUUCGGGUUGUAAACUUCUUUUAAGGGGAAGAGUAGAAGACGGUACCCCUUGAAUAAGCCACGGCUAACUACGUGCCAGCAGCCGCGGUAAUACGUAGGUGGCAAGCGUUGUCCGGAAUUACUGGGUGUAAAGGGAGAGUAGGCGGGAUUGCAAGUCCGUUGUUAAAUCUAUCGGCUUAACCGGUAGCUGCGGCGGAAACUGUAGUUCUUGAGUGAAGUAGAGGCAGGCGGAAUUCCUAGUGUAGCGGUGAAAUGCGUAGAUAUUAGGAGGAACACCAGUGGCGAAGGCGGCCUGCUGGGCUUUAACUGACGCUGAGGCUCG